GACGGAGGAUCCAAGCGUUAUCCGGAUUUACUGGGUUUAAAGGGUGCGUAGGCGGAUUGAUAAGUCAGUGGUGAAAGCCUACAGCUUAACUGUAGAACUGCCAUUGAUACUGCCAGUCUGGAGUAUGGUUGAGGUAGCUGGAAUGUGUCAUGUAGCGGUGAAAUGCUUAGAGAUGACACAGAACACCAACGGCGAAGGCAGGUUACCAACCCAUUACUGACGCUGAGGCACGAAAGCGUGGGGAUCAAACAGG
rnacentral:rRNA from 1 species